UACGUAGGGGGCAAGCGUUGUCCGGAAUCAUUGGGCGUAAAGAGCGUGUAGGCGGUCCGGUUAGUCGGCUGUGAAAGUCCAGGGCUCAACCCUGGGAUGCCGGUCGAUACUGCCGGACUAGAGUCCGGAAGAGGCAAGUGGAAUUCCCGGUGUAGCGGUGAAAUGCGCAGAUAUCGGGAAGAACACCCGUGGCGAAGGCGGCUCUCUGGGACGGUACUGACGCUGAGACGCGAAAGCGUGGGGAGCGAACAGG
rnacentral:rRNA from 1 species